ensembl:lncRNA
GGCCAAUUACACUUCCUUUGAAAGCCUGGUUCUAAAUUUAUCUCAUAUCGAAUCAAAAACCUGCCAGCCAGUCUUAUUUGCGAUAAUUUACCGUCCUCCAGGCCCUUAUUCUGAAUUUCUAUCAGAAUUCUCUGAGUUUAUAUCAAACUUAGUCCUCAGUUCUGAUAAAAUACUGAUAGUAGGCGAUUUUAAUAUCCAUGUGGACAAAGAUAGUGAUAGCCUGAGCUCAGCCUUUAUGUCCCUAAUAGACUCAGUUGGCUUUUUUCAAACUAUUAAUGAAGCUACUCAUCGUUUAAAUCAUACUCUUGAUCUUGUUCUAACAUAUGGCCUUGAUAUUAAUGAACUAAAAGUCUACCCUGAAAAUCCUCUGCUAUCAGAUCACUUUUUAAUAUCUUUUAACAUUAUCCUAGAGGAUCUCGCACUGUGCAAUAAAAUAGUUACGAGUAGAAAUCUGUCCAACAGUGCUGUGGCUAAAUUUAAAGAGGCCAUUCCUGCUGCCUUACACUCAGUGCACCAUCCAAUAAAUAACUAUGACAUUAAUUAUAACCCCUCUCAACUGGAUCUGCUUGUCGAUAGCUCUGCUAGUGUACUAAAAUCCACCUUGGACUCAAUUGCCCCAUUGAGGGAAAAAACUAUUAAACGUCAGAGGAAAGCUCCGUGGUUUAGCUCUGAAACUCACACACUCAAACAAACAACCCGUAAAUUAGAGAGAAUGUGGCGCUCCAAUAAAACAGAGGAGUCACGAAUACUUUGGCAAGAAAGCCAUAGUAAAUACAUGACAGCCUUACGACAUAGUCGAUCUACAUACUACUCCUCACUAAUUGAAGAAAAUAAAAAUAAUCCGAGGUACCUUUUCAGCACUGUAGCCAGGCUAACACAAAAUCAGAGCUCUAUUGAGCCCAUGAUUCCUCUAGCCCUCAGCUGUGAGGACUUUAUGACAUUUUUUAACGAUAAAAUUCACAAGAUUAGAGAUAAAAUUAGCCACUCCCUGCCUUCACCUGGGCCUGCUGUACCAUUAAAUGUAAAUAGGCCUAACCUAAACUGUUUCACACAUAUAGGACUUCAGGAACUUAACUCUAUUAUUUCAUCCUCC